rnacentral:rRNA from 1 species
GACGAACGCUGGCGGCGUGCUUAACACAUGCAAGUCGAACGGGGCGAAGUGAUAGCUUGCUAUUAUGGAGCCUAGUGGCAAACGGGUGAGUAACGCGUAGGCAACCUGCCCUUCAGAUGGGGACAACACCUCGAAAGGGGUGCUAAUACCGAAUGAUGUUUCCUAGUCGCAUGACCUGGAAACCAAGGCCGGGCAACCGGUCACUGAAGGAUGGGCCGUGCGUCUGAUUAGCUAGUUGGUGGGGUUAACGGGCCCACCAAGGCGACGAUCAGUAGCCGGUCUGAGAGGAUGAACGGCCACAUUGGGACUGAGUACACGGCCCAAACUCCUACGGGAGCAGCAGUGGGGAAUCUUCCGCAAAUGGGCGCAAGCCUGACGGAGCAACGCCGCGUGAGUG